CUGUUCGUCGCUGUUAUUGUCGUACGUACGUCGAAGAAAACAAGCUGAAAGCCAUGCCAAAAGUCAAGAGAAGUAGAAAACCUCCUCCAGAGGGAUGGGAGCUCAUCGAGCCUACCAUUGAUGAACUAGAUGCAAAAAUGCGAGAAGCGGAGACUGACCCUCAUGAAGGAAAGAGAAAGGUUGAAGCUUUGUGGCCGAUAUUCCGGCUUCACCACCAGAAGUCCAGAUACAUCUACGACUUGUUCUACAGAAGGAAGGCCAUUAGUAGACGUAGGUCGUCUUCUUGAUGUUGUUACCAGUGCUCUGUUACCAUGGUAUCGGAAUUGUACGAAUAUUGUCUGAAAGAAAACAUUGCUGACAAAAACUUAAUUGCGAAAUGGAAGAAACAGGGAUAUGAAAAUCUGUGCUGUUUAAGGUGCAUUCAAACAAGAGACACAAAUUUUGGAGCCAACUGUAUCUGCCGUGUCCCCAAGUCCAAACUAGAAGCAGGUAAGAUUGUGGAAUGUAUACACUGUGGAUGUCGAGGCUGCUCUGGGUGAUCAUCAGCUGAUGCGUGUACAUAGUGGCUGUCGUUGGAAGGACAUCUGAGUGUGGUCGUUGUCUGUACUCCUUUAAAAGACUAAAUACAUAAACUCAGCAGAGGAAGGACAUGAUGUCAUUUACCAAUUGUGUUACACAAGAUUGUUCAAAGAACAGUCCUUUAUUGGAGUUUGAUAACAGAAACAUUUUUUUCUUAAUUUCAACACAAGAAAGUAACCUGGGAGACUUUCAUACAACAUUUUUUAUAGAUAUGCAUUGUGUUAACUUGUUAUUCAUUUUACAUGCCUUAUUGGAAAAAUAAACUCAUUUUAUUU
rnacentral:misc_RNA from 1 species